UACGGAAGGCAGCAGUGGGGAAUAUUGCACAAUGGGCGAAAGCCUGAUGCAGCUAUGCCGCGUGUAUGAAGAAGGCCUUAGGGUUGUAAAGUACUUUCAUCGGGGAGGAAAAAACAAAACUAAUAAUUUUAUUUCUUGACGUUACCCGAAAAAGAAGCACCGGCUAACUCCGUGCCAGCAGCCGCGGUAAUACGGAGGGUGCUAGCGUUAAUCAGAAUUACUGGGCGUAAAGAGCACGUAGGUGGUUUUUUUAAAGUCAGAUGUGAAAUCCCUGGGCUUUAACCUAGGAACUGCAUUUUGAAACUGAAAUACUAGAGUAUCGUAGAGGGAGGUAGAAUUCUAGGUGUAGCGGUGAAAUGCGUAGAUAUCUGGAGGAAUACCUGUGGCGAAAGCGGCCUCCUAAACGAAUACUGACACUGAGGGUGCGAAAGCGUGGGGAGCAAACAGGGAUUUAGAUA
rnacentral:rRNA from 1 species